GAAAGCAUGUAAGGCCCUGGAGCUUUGGGAAGACACGGGUUGGCUUAGGAGAAGCAGAAGAAAGAGUGGGGCCUCUGCAUCUCGCUAAGGGCCUCCGUGGCUCCCCGACAGGGGCUCCUGUAGCCCAGGCUGGCCAUCAGUUUGCAAUGUAGUUGAGGAUGACCUUGAACUCCAGAUCUGCUUCCACUCCUGAGUGCUGGGAUUACUGGCUUUCAUCUGCACCGUCAUGCUUUGUUUCUGUGGACCGGGCAUCUGACCUGGUCUUUGUGCAUACUAGUAUAAAAAGGAAGCCCCCUCAGCUGUGGGACUGUAAGUAAGCAGGUGUCCCAGCCUCGCAGGCUGAUGGAAACAAACCCUGGAAGGAAGCAAGCAUCCAGAUGGCAUCAUGCGUUCAGAAUUCUCUUGGGUUUCUUCCUCCACAGACUGGCCCAUCCAGAGGGAUCUGUAUGGGAGAGGUGCCCAUGGAGACCAGAAGAGGGCGCUGGAUCAUCUGGAACUGGAAUAACGGAGUUGCCCUGUGAGUCAGUUGCCUUGCAGGUUGUCAACUAUGCUGCCCAGACCAACCUUAACUCCCCAUCUCCUUCCGCUGCCCCCCAGUGCUAGGACGACAAGUUCUCACAUGUUAGUUCCUCAGGAGUCACGUUCGGGAGCUCGGCAGUGCCAGCCUCAGAUUCACCCAGGGUGAAGUCAUUUGCCAGCUCAGCCACAGUGAGCUGGUUUCUUCAGUCUCUUUCCCCUUGGCCAACCUUCUGAAGACACUUCUCCCAGAUGCCUUCCAUGCCCUGCUUGGUGACAUCACCCACCAGAGCUCGAGCAAGACUCCGGAAGCAACCACUGGCUCCUGCUCCUCGAUUGCAGCCACAGCCUGGCAAAGGUCCUCUAAAAGGAAUGGCCUUCAAAACUUCAAUCGAUGCCUGACUCAUGGGUUGGAUCAAAGUGGUGGCAGUGGAGAGAGAAAUGCCCAGGGUAUCAGGGGUUGGGGAUACAGCUCAGUUUGUGGAGGGCUUGUCCAGCUUGCAUGAAGCCCUGGGCUCAAUCUCCAGCACUGCUGUAAACUGGGGAUGGUGUUACAUGCCUGUAAUCCCAGCCUUUGGGAGGUAGAGGCAGAAGGAUCAAGAGUUCAAGGCGGGGGCUGGAGAGAUGGCUCAGAGGUUAAGAGCACUGGCUGUUCUUCCAGAGGUCCUGAGUUCAAUUCCCAGCAACCACAUGGUGGCUCACAACCAUCCGUAAUGAGAUCUGGUGCCCUCUUCUGGCUUGCAGGCGUAUACGCAGGCAGAACAUUGUAUACAUAAUUAAUAAAUAAAUCUUUAAAAAAAAAAAAGAGUUUAAGGCUAUCUCCAGCAAAGAUAAGGCCAGCCUUGGGCUGCCAGAAAUCCUGCACCAAAAUAUAAACCACAAAAACCAUCCAUAUAAGGAGUAUGUGUGGGAGAAUUGUCAACAAUAUGGACAUCUGGAAACAUCUGCAUGUCAUUCAAUGCUAUAGAAAUCUAGAAAUUUCUAUCCAGAGGAGCUGGAUGAAGCCAGAGUCCUUAUUGCCCUGGUAGUAGGUUGGUAAUGUGUUGACUGAUAGCCUUGAAGGCUCUGGCUUCUCCCUGCACCAGAUCACCAAAGACUUGGGCCAGUAGUUUGCAACACUGUUCCCAAGACUUUUGCUGGAGCCAGAAUGUUAGCUCUAUUGGUAUAAUGCUUGGCUAGCAUGUAGGAGGUCCUGGGUUUGAUCCCCAGCACAAAUCAGACAUGGUAGCACAGGCUCCUGUUGCUACCACUGGAGAGGUGGAGGCAGGAGGAUCAAGAGUUCAAGGUUAUCCUCAGUUAUAUAGUAAGUUUGAGGUUAUGGUAUAUGUGAGACCCUAUCUUAAAAAUAAAGGGGUGUUGGAGGGGUAGUCUUUGAAGUAAAAAGCAAAUUAACAGAAAAACUCUGGGUUUCUGGUUUUACCACGUCUAGCCAAGUGUGGUGGUCUGAAUGUGAAUGCCCCUCCACCAUAGGCUCAUACGUUUAAAUGUUUAGUCCCCAGUUAGUAGAAUUAUUUAGGAAGGAUUAGGAGGUGUGGCCUUCUUGGAGAAGGUGGAUCACUGAGGGUGAGUGGGCCUUGAGGUUUCAAAAGCCCAUGCCAGGCCCAGUCUCUCUCUGUCUCUGCCUAUUGCCUGUGAAUCAGUAUGUAAAGCUCUCAGUCACUGUCCACCAU